rnacentral:lncRNA from 1 species
AUGGUGAAGGGCUCCGGCAAUCCAGGGUUCGGACGGGGCGGCGGCGGCUCUGCCAAGCCCGCAGCACCCCGCGCUCCCCCGGCUCGGCUCGAAGCGGCUCCGCUCGGCGCGCCCGGAGCCCGUCCCCCGCCCCAGCCCGCCCGAGCCCCGCUCGCCGCCUGCCUGCCUGUCCCGUUCCUAGUGGGUUGCCUCGGUCCUGCGUGCCGUAUAUAUACACCCCCGCAGCAGGGCCGGGGAUCGCCCUCUAGUGUCCUGCUGGGAACCUCUGACCACCGCGCCCCGGGUCUUAGCGCCCCGGCCCGGCCGUCCGCCCUCCCUCGGGAGCUCCGCUCUCACCGAGCCCUGCCCGGUCCCUGUGCUCCGCCCGCCCCCCCGCUCUGGGGGCUCGGAGCCCGCAGCGCCCGAUCCCGUUCCACCGGGGAGCAGCCCCGCAGCUCACCAUUACGCGCGAACCAUUACGCCGGGCUGGAUGGCGCACGGUGCCCGCCCCCGGGGCCCAAGGCGCCGUCCCAGCGGAGUUACCGGAGCUCGGCCCGGUUCGACGCGCUGGGUUCACCAGCUGAGCCCCGUGGGGACCCGCGGAGCGCGGCCCCGAGCGGCGCUGGGACCCGACCGGGAGCGCGCCCUGCGGGGCGGGGCUGCGGGGCUCGGCGCUGCGGGACGGGGCCGUGGGCAGAGCCGGGCCGGGACGCGCUGCCGCUGUCCCACGGCUCCCACCGUGCGCGGGCGGUGGGGGAUGAACGCACGGGGCUGCAUCUCCGUCCCGUCCCGUCCCGCGGCGCGAAUCGGGCAGGUAAAUUUAAUCACGGAUUUCCCCAAAUGCAAACACCGCAAUCUCGGGCUGUGUCGGGCGUGGACCGGCUCCCGGCGUUUACCCGAGAUAAACCCGAGCGUGCCGCUCGGAAGGCGAAACGCCGGGGCUCAGCUCCGAGUCCGGCCCGAGCAGCUGCUGGGAGACACGCGGCCCGAGGGACCCGCGCUCCCUGCACGGGACGGAUUCGGGGCACGGAGCUGCCGCCUCCCCGUCCAGCCGGACCUGCCGACCCCAACUGCCGGCCCUUAGAUCCGCUGGGCCGGGCCGCUCGGAAAGCAGCACAGUGGAAGGAGGGACGCACCGAGGGCAGUGAAGCAGGGGAGAGCGAGGGAGAUCGGCAGAGAAAACUCCAGUAUGGCUAUGGCUACAGAAAGAAUUGCCACAUUUCUUAG